CGCGGUGGUCGCCGCCCCGCGGCCACGCCAGCAGCGGCACGCCGGCCGUCGCCGCCUCGAUCACCGAGUUCCACCCGCUGUGGCUCAGGAACAGGCCCACCGCCGGGUCCCUGAGCACCGCGUCCUGGUCCACCCACGCCUUGGUCACCACGCCGCGCCCCCGCACGCGCUCCAGGAACCCGUCGCCGAGCACGUCGCG
rnacentral:snoRNA from 1 species